AUUAAACCACCAUGUCCAUGUCUUCAUCCCUGAAUGAAACCGCACCACGCUAGGUGCAGUUAACAUGUGCCAGUUUUAAAACAAUAAAAGACGAAGUUUACUUUCUUCGGGAGGAAAUAACUGAAUCAGCCGCGCUUUUGAUCGGAAUGACAGUGAUAUGGUUUCUUGUUGAGGUUAUGGAGUACAAUUUCGUGGGUCUCCUCUGUCAUAUUUCCAUUUCCUUAAUACUUAUAAUUUACAUAAGGAUUUGGCUUAUUACAAGUUUCUACUGGGAUCCCCUCAACAUUCUCGGAAUAACUUACUUUGAAGCCAGAUUUAGAGAAUUAAUUGCUCACAUUUUCUGCUCAAGAUUUGAUUUCGUCUUAGGAAACUUUCUCAGAAUCGCAUAUGGGCAAAAUCCAACACUCUUGA